CUUGAGAGGAAUGAAGGUGGGGAACGAGUAGGGUUUGUGAAUGCAGAAAGAAGGAAGGAAAGGAAGAGAUCAAAGGGAAGAGGGAUGGAGGCUGGAUUAGGAGUAUGGAAAACAACUUGCAACCCCUAAACCAGGCCGCCCCCCAGGGCCAUAUGUCGGAAUUGCAACCAGGACCUGAGCCCCAACAUGGGCUGUACAUGCUGUUCCUUCUCGUGCUGGUCUUCUUUCUCAUGGGCCUCGUGGGGUUCAUGAUCUGCCAUGUACUCAAGAAGAAGGGUUAUCGCUGUCGAACAUCAAGAGGCUCAGAGCCUGAAGAUGCCCAGCUCCAGCCACCGGAUGAUGAGGAUAUGAAUGAGGACACAGUGGAAAGGAUUGUGCAGUGCAUCAUCCAAAACGAAGCCAAUGCCGAGGCUUUGAAAGAGAUGCUCGGGGACAGUGAAGGUGAGGCAACAGUACAGCUGUCCAGCCUUGAUGGUGCUCCUAGCCUGCAAGAUGGGACUCCGUCUCACCACCAUACAGUUCACCUGGGCUCAGCUGCCCCUUGUAUCCACUGUAGCCGAAACAAGAGACCACCUCUCAUCCGACAGGGCCGCUCCAAAGAGGGAAAAGGCCGUACUAGGCCAGGGGAGACCACAGUUUUCUCUGUGGGCAGGUUCCGGGUUACACACAUUGAGAAGAGAUUUGGGCUGCAUGAACAUCGUGAUGGCUCACCCACAGAUAGAAGCUGGGGCUCCAGUGGUGGGCAGGACCCAGGGGGAGGCCAGGGUUCUGGGAAAGGGCAGAUUGGACCUGGGACUCCUGCCACAGAAAGACUUCCAGCAUCAGGACCAGAGGCUGGCGUUCUAUCUAGUCCCCCUAUACAGAAUGGAAAUGUCAGAGAAAGGAGCUUAACUCCUUCUCUAAUUGAGAGGCCCUCUGGAACCAUGGAAGACUUGGAGGCAGCAGCCAGAGAGAGGGACACAAGGCCAGUAUUAUCCAGAAGGGAAACUAAUGGACAGCCAGCCAAACUGGAUGCCUCAGAUCUCCAGGUGUCACCACCAGGUGGCUCAGGAAGGAUAUGAGCCUACCCCAGGGAAGAGAUCUUACCGGUCGGAGACGAGGGGCUGCUGGAUCUACUGGGCCAAGGCAAUCCAGUGGGUGGUCUUGGAGAAAGAGCAGAGGUCAGCAAACUUGAUGCCCAAAGCAAUAAUUCCUCAAAUAACUAUUGUAUCUCCCUGUGCUGGGAACUAUCAGGACACAGGAGUCUAAAAUAGGUUCUUAAGAAAACUAACUAGUUAGAGAAACAAAAUUAACAGAUGGAAUAAAAGUAUGCAAGAAAAUGUAUAAUUAAACACUAAAUAGCAUAGUAUAGACUAUGGAUGACAUAGAAACUUAAAGGAGUGAGAAAGAGAUCAUUUCAAAUCACAGAAGUCUUGAGGUAAGGUUUAGUUAGGCUGGAGAGCAUGGAGAAGAUAUGCCAGGUGGUGAUUUUGAGGUGGGUGGGGAAUACAACACUGGCAACAAUUUUUAAAAAUGCUUUAUUACAGCAGACUGUCUUUUGGAAGAUUUGUGGAUUAGAAGAGGGAAAAGUGGGGUAGGGCUAGAUUAAAGAAGGCUUUAAAAGCCCAACAGAAGAUACUAAAUUUGACAUGGUAUAAAAUAUUCUUUCCCUAUGAGUCCUCUGUCUCUGUUCCAUCCCAGGUUCCCCAACUCACCCUCAGACAGGGCUCCUGCAGUCCUAUCAGCAGCAGGGAUGGGAGCUGGAGGAGAGAAGCUUGGCGGGGAUGGGGAUGGGAGCAUCUGGGAGAUAAGGCAAGAGCUUUAAGACUCUAGAAAGUUACUGAGGAAGUCAGCUCUUGGGGGAAGAUAAGGAGACCUUGCCUCUCAUCUUCACCCCACUUCUCUAUCCUAUACCAACCCUUCAAACCCCGAAUACAAGUUGUAAUAAAAUGCCUCUACCCUGGGGGAAAAUGCUGAUGCCUAUAUUCUAAGCCUGAGCUAGCCUUUGGUGGGCCAAGAGCACCAAUUACCCUAUUAAGGUAGAAAGUCAGCUCACCUGUUCUUGGUCUGGGGAGUCUAUGGAUCCUGGGGGGCCCAACAACUCCUCUACCAAUAGAGAAGGGAAAACUCCAACUUGGCCCCCAAACUCUCCCCUCCAAAAGCCAUCAUCCACACCACCCUGGGCACGGGGCAGCAGCCUGAUCAGUGCCCCCUCUGGAAAGCUCAGCUCCUCAGCACUCUGCCCUAUGUAGCUGUACAGGGCUCGGGCCAGGCACACUGCGAGAAAUGGAAACAGGUAGACUAUGAAGUGGCUAAAAGGGACAAGACAUACCCACCUUAAUACCCCUGGUUUCCUAAUGUGCCCCCUCACCUGUGGAAUUCUCCUCAAGGGGGUUGUCACUGUGGUGACCCUCCUGAGGAACAAGGUCUGGGAAGUCAAGGUACCGCUCUGGGACAUAGCCCACCACACCAUGCUGGUUCCGAGCCUGCUCGCAGUGGAAGAAGGGUGGGGGAGGCAUUGGAAGUGAUGGAGAAGGGAGAAAUCCAACUAGAUCAAAACUCUUAUCCCCCCAGGACUGCUAUCCCUCCAGGCCCUCAGCUCCAUGUUUCCUUAGGGACCAUCUAGAAAUAUUCUCCAUGCUCCCCAUCCCAUCUCAGAGUCAGAUCCCAGGGCCCUCAGCCCCUUCACCCCCAUUCCCUAGGGCCCCAACACACCUUGACCCACUCGUCUGCAUCACCAUCUUCCACGACCUCCAGCCACUCCCCCUCUGUGAUGGUCAACUCAUCCUCCCGCCCAGCCUGAGCCCCACAGGAAUGGACUCAGGUCUGGAUCCUUCCCUCCCCACUCAUUCAAGGGGUCCUCACUCCCCCACCCUGGGGCUCUCCCUAGCCCUACCCACCAUGCCCCCACCUUAUAGCCAAAGACAACAUGUGCUGGGCAAGGGAGGGACCUAGUGGGGAGGGUUGGGGGUGCUGGCUCUUGAAACAGCUCCCCCCCCUCCUCACAGUCCUCAAAGUCUGACAGUUCUGCAUCCUCUGCCUGGUAGGGAGACACAAAAAGGGGUAUCAGCUCCUUGAUCACAGGCUCCCACACCCAGAAUUACAUUCGAUAUUCAUCAAAGAUGUGCUUGCCCAACCCCAAAUCUCUGCACCAGUUUCCUGAUCAGGGUCUGUCUCCAAGUUGGUCAAGUUUUACCAUGGGGAAAGGAGUCUUUGGGAACACCCUCAAUCUGGAAGGUAGGGUCCUCAUGGGUGGGAGGAGAGGAAUCAGUGGAGAUGGGCUUUUCUUUUGUGUACAGGGGAGGGAAAGUCUUGUCUCACCGUGGGAGAAAGGUCUCCUUUCUGGGACAGCCGAGCCUCACUGAGCCGCCUCUCCUGCUCCAGCUCUUCCUGGGCCUGAGUCAUGGCUGGCCGAAGCCACUGCUCUAUAUCCAGCCCAGCCCCUUGCAGCACGGCCAGCCGAGCAGCCCCCUUCACCUGGCUUACCUGGCACAUGGACAAGGGAGGAAGAAGAGGGAGCAGAGGCUCAGAAAUGAGGACACAGCAGGAACAAGGACAAACCCACAUGUAAUACUACACAGAGUUCUUAGGAAAAUAAAAUAUGAUAAAGUAGGUACAGAACUGUGCAAAUCUAAAAGAACUUUGCAAAUAAAUUAUCCGUUAUCAUUCCAUGAGAAUGGAAGUUCCUUGA